UACGUAGGGUGCGAGCGUUAAUCGGAUUUAUUGGGCGUAAAGAGCUCGUAGGCGGCUGUUCGAGUCGGGUGUGAAAUCCUGAGGCUUAACCUUGGGUCUGCAUUCGAUACUGGGCGGCUUGAGUCUGGUAGGGGAUCUGGAAUUCCUGGUGUAGCGGUGGAAUGCGCAGAUAUCAGGAGGAACACCGGUGGCGAAGGCGGGAUCCUGGCCAGUACUGACGCUGAGGAGCGAAAGCGUGGGAGCAACAGG
rnacentral:rRNA from 1 species